CAUGCUGAAACACCUGUUCCCAUAUGAUCAUCAAAGUUAAGCAACAUUGAGCCUGGUCAGUACCUAGAUGAGUGACAGCUUGGAAUACCAGGUGU
rnacentral:rRNA from 1 species